rnacentral:piRNA from 1 species
GUGUUCUUUGUAUUUGAUGUGUUCUUUG